rnacentral:rRNA from 1 species
GGGAAAGUGGACACAGGUGCUGCAUGGCUGUCGUCAGCUCGUGUCGUGAGAUGUUGGGUUAAGUCCCGCAACGAGCGCAACCCUUGCCAAUAAUUGCCAUCAUUCAGUUGGGCACUUUAUUGGGACUGCCGGUGACAAACCGGAGGAAGGUGGGGAUGACGUCAAGUCCUCAUGGCCCUUAUGGCCAGGGCUUCACACGUAAUACAAUGGUCGGUACAGAGGGUUGCCAACCCGCGAGGGGGAGCCAAUCCCAGAAAGCCGAUCGUAGUCCGGAUUGUUCUCUGCAACUCGAGAGCAUGAAGUCGGAAUCGCUAGUAAUCGCGGAUCAGCAUGUCGCGGUGAAUACGUUCCCGGGCCUUGUACACACCGCCCGUCACACCAUGGGAGUGGGUUCUACCAGAAGUAGUUAGUCUAACCGCAAGGGGGACGAUUACCACGGUAGGAUUCAUGACUGGGGUGAAGUCGUAACAAGGUAACCGUA